ACACGAGAAGGGAGGUGGUUCGGCAGAUGUAUGAAUACCGGACGCGUGAGGUGGCUGCGGGCUAGCGGCCCGUCACCCCGCUCUGUGCGGUGCCGGACCAGCGUGCAAUACGAGCACGCAGCCGGCCUAUCCCAAGCAGUCACCCGACCCGCGGGCUGCCGGUACGUCCGGCCGGCUCCUCCUCGGAGGAACCCAGCCCGCGGGUCGUCUGCG
rnacentral:sRNA from 1 species